rnacentral:rRNA from 1 species
GAAAGCUAGCACUACGAGUGCAAAAGAAAUGCAUCUGCCGGGACGUGGUGGAAUCAUGGUGAUCCCGAUAGGCUCGUGUAGAUACCAUAGACUGCUUGAACACGUCAACUGUUCAGGUUUUGUGAUUCGACUCUACAGUUGAGUGAGAGAUCUCAACCGAAAAUUAGGUAUGAAAAUUUUCGAACACCCGGUUUACCCCGUUUCACUUGGAUCCUGAAGGGUUUCGGUUAAAUUCCGUUACGCUGUUUGGCUCCCAAAACCCAACACAUCGCCCUCAACCUAUUCUCAAACUUUAAAUAGGUAGGACAGCGUGGCUGCUUUGUUGAGCCGUGUCACGAAAUUGAGAGCUCCAAGUGGGCCAUUUUUGGUAAGCAGAACUAGUGAUGCAGGAUGAACUGGAAGCCGGGUUACGGUGCCCAGCUGUGCGCUAACCUAGAUCCCACAAAGGGUGUUGGUCGAUUAACACAGCUGGACGGUGGUCAUGGAAGUCGAAAUCUGCUAAAGAGUGUGUAACAAUUCACCUACCGAAUCAACUAGCCCCAAAAAUGGAUGGUGUUGAGGCGCACGACCUACACCCGAGCGUUAGGGCAAGUGCUAGGCCCUAAUGAGUAGGAGGGUGCGAUAGUCGCUGUAAGACCCGGGGCACGAGCCCAAGCGGAGCGACCAUCGUUGCAGAUUUUGGUGGUAGUAACAAAUAUUCAAAUCAAAACUUUAAAGGCCGAAAAUGGGAAAGGUUCCAUGUGAACGGCACUUGCGCACGGGUUAGUCGAUCCUAAGAGACGGGGAAAGCCCGUCCGAUAGCCCUUCAGUGUGAGCUUCAAAAGGGAAUCGGGUUAAAAUUCCCAAACCGGGACACGGCUGCUGACGGCAACAUUAGGCAGUCCGGAGACGUCGGCGGGGGACCCAGGAACAGUUAUCUUUUCUAUAUAACGGCCUGCCCACCCUAGAAACGGCUCAGUCGGAUGUAGGGUCCAGCGGCCAGAAGAGCGUCGAACUUCUCGUGACGUCCGGUGUGCCCCUGGUGGCCCUUGAAAAUCCGGAGGACCGAGAGUCGUCUGCGCCCGGUCGUACUCAUAACCGCAUCAGGUCUCCAAGGUGAACAGCCUCUAGUCAAUGGAACAAUGUAGGCAAGGGAAGUCGGCAAAAUGGAUCCGAAACCUUGGGAAAAGGAUUGUCUCUAAGGGUUGCGCAUGGGGGUCUCAGUCCCGAACUCGUUGACUGUCGACGGACUGCUCGAGCUGCUUCGGCGGUGAGAGCGGGUCACCACGUGCCAGCCGGUGGACAGACUGUUAAUGGCCCUUUACAGGCCCUUCCCUUAGCGUCGAACAGCCAACUUAGAACUGGUACGAACAAGGGGAAUCUGACUGUUUAAUUAAAACAAAGCAUUGCGAUGGCCCCUGCGGAUGCUCACGCAAUGUUAUUUCUGCCUAGUGCUCUGAAUGUCAAAGUGAAGAAAUCCAACCAAGCGCGGGUAAAUGGCUGGAGUAACUAUGACUCUCUGAAGGUAGCCAAAUGCCUCGUCAUCUAAUUAGUGACAUGCAUGAAUGGAUUAAUGAGAUUCUUAUUGUCCCUGUUUACUAUCCAAGGAAACCACAGCCAUGGGAACGGGCUUGGCAGAAUUAGCGGGGAAAAAAGACCCUGUUGAGCUUGACUCUAGUCCUACUUUGUGAAAUGACUUGAGAGGUGUUGGAUAAGUGGGAGCCCUACGGGCGCAAGUGAAAUACCACUAUUUUUAACAUUAUUUUACUUAUUUUGUGAAUCGGAGGCGGGGCAAUGCGCCUCUUUUUGGACCCAAGGCUUGCCUCGGCGGCCCGAUCCGGUUGGAAGACAUUGUCAAGUGGGGAGUUUGGCUGGGGUGGCACAUCUGUUAAAAGAUAACGCAGUUGUCCUAAGAUGAGCUCAACGAGAACAGAAAUCUCAUGUCGAACAAAAGGGUAAAAGCUCGUUUGAUUUUGAUUUUCAGUACAAAUACGAACUGUGAAAGCGUGGCCUAUCGAUCCUUUAGACCUUCAAAAUUUGAAGCUAGAGGUGUUAGAAAAGUUACCACAGGGAUAACUGGCUUGUGGCAGCCAAGCGUUCAUAGCGAAGUUGCUUUUUGAUCCUUUAAUGUCGGCUCUUCUUAUCAUUGUUAAGCAGAAUUCACGAGGUGUUGGAUUGUUCACCCACCAGUAGGGAACGUGAGCUGGGUGUAGACCAUUGUGUGACAGGUUAGUUUUACCCUACUGAUGACCGUGUCACGAUAGUAAUUCAACCUAGUAUGAGAGGAACCGUUGAUUUACACAAUUGGUCAUCGUGCUUGGUUGAAAAGCUAGUGCCGCGAAGCUACCAUGCGUUGGAUUAUGACUGAACGCCUCUAAAUCAGAAUCUGGGCUAGAAGUGACGCAUGCGUCGGUUGCCCAUUUGCCGACUCGUAGUAGGGACCUCAAUGCCCAAGGGCACAUGUCGGGGGAGCAGUCACCGUGACAGACUAGCUGCGGAGGCCUCCCCGAAGAUAAAUUUCCAUCGAGC